AAUACUUGUCGCUUUGAGUUUUAUUUGCAACAUUUGAUCAUUCGUCUUAUUCAAAAAAUUAUGGAAUUAUUAUUUUUUGUGACUCGCUUUAUUAUAAAAAUACUUUAAGUAUGACGUAUCUUUUUUUAUAUUUACAUUAUUUUUUUAAAUAAGAUGAAUGGUCAAAUGUUGCAAGUAAAAAGUCAAAGCGACCACUAAU
rfam:Oryza nivara chromosome 6, whole genome shotgun sequence.